AAAAAACAAACAAACAAAUG
rnacentral:sRNA from 1 species